GACGAACGCUGGCGGCGUGCUUAACACAUGCAAGUCGAACGGAAAGGCCCUGCUUUUGUGGGGUGCUCGAGUGGCGAACGGGUGAGUAACACGUGAGUAACCUGCCCUUGACUUUGGGAUAACUUCAGGAAACUGGGGCUAAUACCGGAUAGGAGCUCCUGCUGCAUGGUGGGGGUUGGAAAGUUUCGGCGGUUGGGGAUGGACUCGCGGCUUAUCAGCUUGUUGGGGGGGUAGUGGCUUACCAAGGCUUUGACGGGUAGCCGGCCUGAGAGGGUGACCGGCAAAAUGGGGAAGGAGAAACGGCCCAAAACCCUAGGGGAGGCAGGAGGGGGGAAAAUGAAAAAAGGGGGGGAAGCCUGAGGCAGAAACGCCGGGGGGGGGAAGAGGGCCUUGGGGUUGAAAACCGUUUUCGCCUGGGAAGAAGCGGGGGGGAGGGAAAUGGGAAAAGAAGCACCGGCUAAAUACGG
rnacentral:rRNA from 1 species